UACGUAGGGUGCAAGCGUUGUCCGGAAUUAUUGGGCGUAAAGAGCUCGUAGGCGGUUUGUCGCGUCUGCUGUGAAAACGCGAGGCUCAACCUCGCGCCUGCAGUGGGUACGGGCAGACUAGAGUGUGGUAGGGGAGACUGGAAUUCCUGGUGUAGCGGUGAAAUGCGCAGAUAUCAGGAGGAACACCGGUGGCGAAGGCGGGUCUCUGGGCCGUAACUGACGCUGAGGAGCGAAAGCGUGGGGAGCGAACAGG
rnacentral:rRNA from 1 species